rnacentral:rRNA from 1 species
UGUAGUCAUAUGGCUUGUCUCAAAGAUUAAGCCAUGCAUGUCUAAGUAUAAGCAAUUAUACAGCGAAACUGCGAAUGGCUCAUUAUAUAAGUUAUCGUUUAUUUGAUAGUGCCUUACUACUUGGAUAACCGUGGUAAUUCUAGAGCUAAUACAUGCUAAAAAUCCCAACUUCGGAAGGGAUGUAUUUAUUAGAUUAAAAACCAAUGCCCCUCUGGGGCUCUUUGGUGAUUCAUGAUAACUUCUCGAAUCGCACGGCCUUGCGCCGGCGAUGGCUCAUUCAAAUUUCUUCCCUAUCAACUUUCGAUGUUUGGGUAGUGGCCAAACAUGGUUGCAACGGGUAACGGAGGGUUAGGGCUCGACCCCGGAGAAGGAGCCUGAGAAACGGCUACUACAUCCAAGGAAGGCAGCAGGCGCGCAAAUUACCCAAUCCCGAUUCGGGGAGGUAGUGACAAUAAAUACUGAUACAGGGCUCUUUCGGGUCUUGUAAUCGGAAUGAGUACAAUUUAAAUCCCUUAACGAGGAACAAUUGGAGGGCAAGUCUGGUGCCAGCAGCCGCGGUAAUUCCAGCUCCAAUAGCGUAUAUUAAAGUUGUUGUGGUUAAAAAGCUCGUAGUUGAACCUUGGGCCUGGCUGGCCGGUCCGCCUCACCGCGUGUACUGGUCCGGCCGGGUCUUUCCCUCUGUGGAACCCCAUGCCCUUCACUGGGUGUGGCGGGGAAACAGGACUUUUACUUUGAAAAAAUUAGAGUGCUCCAGGCAGGCCUAUGCUCGAAUACAUUAGCAUGGAAUAAUAAAAUAGGACGUGCGGUUCUAUUUUGUUGGUUUCUAGGACCGCCGUAAUGAUUAAUAGGGACAGUCGGGGGCAUCAGUAUUCAAUUGUCAGAGGUGAAAUUCUUGGAUUUAUUGAAGACUAACUACUGCGAAAGCAUUUGCCAAGGAUGUUUUCAUUAAUCAGGAACGAAAGUUAGGGGAUCGAAGACGAUCAAUACCGUCGUAGUCUUAACCAUAAACUAUGCCGACUAGGGAUCGGACGAUGUUAUUUUUUGACUCGUUCGGCACCUUACGAUAAAUCAAAGUGCUUGGGCUCCAGGGGGAGUAUGGUCGCAAGGCUGAAACUUAAAGAAAUUGACGGAAGGGCACCACCAGGGGGGAGCCUGCGGCUUAAUUUGACUCAACACGGGGAAACUCACCAGGCCAGACACAAUGAGGAUUGACAGAUUGAGAGCUCUUUCUUGAUUUUGUGGGUGGUGGUGCAUGGCCGUUCUUAGUUCGUGGGGUGACCUGUCUGCCUGAUCGCGAUAACGAACGAGACCUUAUCCUGCUAAAUAGCCCGUAUUGCUUUGGCAGUACGCCGUCUUC